UGUGUAUUUAAAGUUUAAUUUUAGCUUGAAAAUUUUCUUAUUAAUUUAAUUUACAUGUAAAUUUUAAUAUGAAAUUAAUUAAAUUUAAAUAAUUUAAUUUAAUUAUUAAUCGCAGUAUAAAAUUUUAAAAAUUAAGUAAUUUUAGAUUUAGAAAUUUAAUUUUAAAUUAACCAAAUUUGUGCCAGCAGUUGCGGUUACACAAAUAAUUUAAGAAAAUUUAAUUGGAAUUAGUUAAAUUAAUAUAUUAAUAUAAAAAAUUAUUUUUUUAAGGUGAAAUUUAAAAAAUUUAUAAAUAUAUUUAAUAAUUAUUGAAACUAAUAAAUUUUUAUAUUAAACUAGGAUUAGAUACCCUAUUAUUAAAAAUGAAUUUAUUAAUUCUAAAUUAGUAUUAGUUAUGUUCUUGAAAAUUAAAAAAUUUGGCGGUAUUUUAGUCUUUUCAGAGGAACCUGUUCUGUAAUUGAUAAUCCACGAUUUAAUUUACUUGCCCUAUAAAUUUAUAUAUCGUUGUAAUAAGAAUAUUUUUAAAGAAUCUUAAUAUUCAAAAUUUUAAUUAAAAAAUAAUUCAAAUCAAGGUGUAGUUGAUGGUUAAGGAGAAAUGGGUUACAUUAAUAAUAAUUAUGAAUUAAAUUAUGAACAUAAUUUAUGAAAUUGGAUUUGAAAGUAAUUAUGAAAAAUUUUUUAUUAUGAUUUAAGCUCUAAAAUAUGUACAUAUUGCCCGUCGCUUUUGUUUUAAGAUGAAAUAAGUCGUAACAAAGUAGAUUUACUGGAAAGUGAAUCUAGAAAAUU
rnacentral:ncRNA from 1 species